rnacentral:rRNA from 1 species
GGGGAUGACGUCAAGUCCUCRUGGYCUUUAUGUCCRGGGCUACACACGUGCUACARUGGUCGGUACAAACCGUCGCAAACCCGUGAGGGGGAGCUAAUCGGAAAAAGCCGGCCUCAKUUCGGAUUGGAGUCUGCAACUCKACUCCAUGAAKCUGGAAUCGCUAGUAAUCGCGGAUCARAACGCCGCGGUGAAUACGUUCCCGGGCCUUGUACACACC